UACAUCUCCUCCAGCCUCGGGCUGUCAGGCUUACAUCCCUUUCUCACAGCUAUUAGGGAACACUGUUCAGGACCUUUUUUAAAGUUUCUUUUUUCAAGUAGGAGAAAAAGAAGGAAAGAAGGAAGGAAGCAGAAGCAAAAAGAAAAGACCCACUGCAGAAAAACGGGAUUUUUUUCUAAUGUCAGAAAUAGGCUUCUACAGACUGAAAUUCCAGCAUGUUUCAGCAGGCUAAGCAACAAGUUCCUGUCAGCUAGACUCACAGGUUAAUCUCUAUGAAAACUCUGAAUCACAGAGGCAUUCAGAUAUUUAUAUAUAGUAGACAGAGGUUUGCCGACAUGCUCAGAGUGCUCCGCUAUCUCCCUCCUCUUUUUCUUCAAGAGUUACAUAGAUGCUGAGGAAUAUAAGAAAAACAUGCUAUUUUACAGCUCAAAAUGAUUUGCUACUCAAUCCAAGGUAAAGCAAAAAAACUGAAACAAACUUCAGACAUACAAUAAAACAUUCAAGUUACUUAA